GAUGAACGCUGGCGGCGUGCUUAACACAUGCAAGUCGAACGAAGCGCUUUGAAACAAUCCUUCGGGUGCGUUUCUUAGUGACUUAGUGGCGGACGGGUGAGUAACGCGUGGGUAACCUGCCUCAUGCAGGGGGAUAACAGUUAGAAAUGACUGCUAAUACCGCAUAAGCGCACAGUACCGCAUGGUACAGUGUGAAAAGNUUUAUCAGCAUGAGAUGGACCCCGCGUCUGAUUAGCUAGUUGGUGAGGUAACGGCCCACCAAGGCGACGAUCAGUAGCCGACUUGAGAGAGUGAUCGGCCACAUUGGGACUGAGACACGGCCAAACUCCUAGGGAGCAGCAGUGGGAAUAUGCACAAUGGGGGAAACCCUGACCCAGCAACGCGCGUGAAGGAAGAAGGUCUU
rnacentral:rRNA from 1 species